AUUGAACGCUGGCGGCAGGCCUAACACAUGCAAGUCGAACGAGUGGCGGACGGGUGAGUAAUGUCUGGGAAACUGCCUGAUGGAGGGGGAUAACUACUGGACACGGUAGCUAAUACCGCAUACCAUCGGAUGUGCCCAGAUGGGAUUAGCUAGUAGGUGGGGUAACGGCUCACCUAGGCGACGAUCCCGAGCUGGUCUGAGAGGAUGACCAGCCACACUGGAACUGAGGCACGGUCCAGACUUCUACGGUAGGCAGCAGUGGGGAAUAGUGCCCAAUGGGCGCAAGCCUGAUGCAGCCAUGCCGCGUGUGUGAAGAAGGCCUUCUGGUUGUAAAGCACUUUCAGCGGGGAGGCGUUACCCGCAGAAGAAGCACCGGCUAACUCCGUGCCAGCAGCCGCGGUAAUUC
rnacentral:rRNA from 1 species